AAACAUUAAAGAAAGAGCAAGCAAGAGUGGAAUUAAGGACUACUCUCUCAUGUGUUGCAUGAUCGAGAACCAUAAGAAUUUCAGGGAACAAGAGGGCAAGAUGAUCCCUGAGCCGUAUUUCCAGCUGUUGCCUGCAACUGCUUCUGGAAGAGGCACACGCUUUUUCACUUCACCCCUGUAAACCUGAGCGCACCUAAAAACAAACUAAUCGUGACAAAUAACAGCCCUUAAGUCAAUUUGCUUCUCUGGAGACAAUUCCUGAUCUUUCUCAUCUAAUUUCGUGCACAGGAAUACUUUCAGUUGUGAUUCAGGCGAUGAUGUCUCCUCAUAAAUCCAGGCUGCAGUAACACCAGCGUGACCCAUCACUUCAUUACAUCAAUAUGCGAAGCUGUGCAUCGUACUGAGGAGGAGUUUAUCUGGCUGCAGUGGGAACCGAUCCAGGAACAAAGGAAGGAGUUAGAAAUCUGAUUAUUUCUGGGCCAGUUCUGUAUGAGCUUCUCCAUUUUCCUGUUGUCAGCUAGUUUUUCUUUUCUUCAUCCUCCUUCCCUACACAAAGAGGCGAAGGAUCCAGCUAGCACAGGCAUUCUGAUUAGCAUCACCAUCCAGCCAAUGUCCUAACAAAGUGGUUGGCAGGGUCUGAAUUUCAGCUCAGGGUAGGAUGAAAUGUAUGCUAUUGGGUCAGAUAUGAGCAUAUGCAAAAUCAGGGACCCACCUAACGACCAGGAGCAACAGGAGCAUGGUGGGUCUCCAGACACGCCUGUCUGGCCGUUCCUCAUUGCGUGCUGUCUGGGAGGGGCGGGCUAAUUUCAUUAAUUUUGUACAAAUAAGAAAUUCUAGUUCUGGUGCUACCUCUGCACAGUUCUAGUACUACCUCUGUAGUACUUUCUGUACU